UACAGAGGUCUCAAGCGUUGUUCGGAUUCAUUGGGCGUAAAGGGUGCGUAGGUGGCAGGGUAAGUCGGAUGUGAAAUCCCGGGGCUCAACCUCGGAACUGCAUUCGAUACUGCUUUGCUUGAGUACUGGAGGGGAGAUUGGAAUUUACGGUGUAGCAGUGAAAUGCGUAGAUAUCGUAAGGAAGACCAGUGGCGAAGGCGGAUCUCUGGACAGUUACUGACACUGAGGCACGAAGGCCAGGGGAGCAAACGGG
rnacentral:rRNA from 1 species